rnacentral:rRNA from 1 species
GAAUGCUGACAUAAGUAACGAUAAAGCGGGUGAAAAGCCCGCUCGCCGGAAGACCAAGGGUUCCUGUCCAACGUUAAUCGGGGCAGGGUGAGUCGACCCCUAAGGCGAGGCCGAAAGGCGUAGUCGAUGGGAAACGGGUUAAUAUUCCCGUACUUGGUGUUACUGCGAAGGGGGGACGGAGAAGGCUAUGUUGGCCGGGCGACGGUUGUCCCGGUUUAAGCGUGUAGGUGUGUGUUCCAGGUAAAUCCGGUUCACUUUAACACUGAGGCGUGACGACGAGGCACUACGGUGCUGAAG